CUAAAGUACAGAGGAACAACUAGUUGUCAACUGUGAUAAAAAGAAAACAAUUGUUUUCUCCCAAAGUCCUGUCAUCUGCUGUUUCCUAUAAAAAAAAAAUCAACUGUGUUAGUAUCAAUUUUAAGUACUUAACUAUUUGCGUAUUUCUUUUCAAGUAUGAACAAUCAAGUUCAUCCAGGCCAAGAGCUGUCAUCGCUUCCCAUGGUUUGAAUGCUAUCUUUCAGUGUGCCAAUUGCAAAGUAAUGUUUAUAUCCUAGCUCCAACUUCUUACUUUAUAGUCACAUGCAUUUCAUAUAUUGCAUAACGGAAAUUUGCCCUUUGCCUGAUUUGCUUCUUUGUAAAGUGUUUAGAAUGCACACUUUUAUUAGCCAAAAAAUCCUGAAACUGGAAGAGCCCUGGUACAGAACAUGUUUGGCUAUUCUGUGAACCAAAAUAAAUAAAGAAGUUAUAAAGCCUCUUCCUGAAAUUUGGUGGCAAUAUGAGAAUAGUUAAAACUCCUCUAAAGAAGUGCAGAUGUAGGAGAAUUUUAACAGGUGUUCCCUUUCACUUUUCAGUUUUAAUAAAAUUCAUAGCUGUUUGGGUUGUUUUAUUGGUAAUAAUUUCUUUUUCUUUUCUCUAGAAUCUGAAAGAAGGCAGACAAGAUCAAAAAUUACAAGAAAAGUAAGAAGUAUUCUUGCGAAUGAGAGUGAUGAUGAUGGUGAACCAAACGAAUACAACUUGAACGACAGUUUUAUAGAUGAUGACGAGGAGGAAGAGUGUGAUCCUACUGAUGAAGAUUCUGAUUGGGAACCAGAUUGUCAAGAUGAUGAUGAAGAUACGGACAUGCUUCUCAAAGAAGCACAUGAUUUUGUUAAAACCAAGAGCUAACUGCAUUCAAAUAUUUUGAUAGAGUUUAUAAAGCAUCAUGAAACAUGUAUCCCAUUAGGUAAUAAUGUCACUUUUUAAAUAGUGACUUACUUUAAUUUUACUUCAUAAAAUUGGAUUAUAUAUGUACAUUUUCAAAAUUUCAUGACUCCACA
rnacentral:lncRNA from 1 species